rnacentral:rRNA from 1 species
UACGGAGGGGGCAAGCGUUGUUCGGAAUCAUUGGGCGUAAAGGGCGCGCAGGUGGUUCUGUAUGUCUACCGUGAAAGCAUACAGCUCAACUGUAUUUUGUCGGUAGAAACUGCAGGACUUGAGGCUGGGAGGGGCUGGUGGAAUUCCCUGUGUAGCGGUGAAAUGCGCAGAUAUCGGGAGGAACACCAAUUGCGAAGGCAGCUCGCUGGGACGUAACUGACGCUGAGACGCGAAAGCGUGGGGAGCAAACAGG